CGUGCAGGCGUUUCUGUAAGUGAAUUGUGAAAUCCCAGAGCUCAACUCUGGAACUGCAGUUCAUACUGCGGAAAUCGAGGUCAUGAGAGGAAAAUAGAAUUCCCGGUGUAGCGGUGAAAUGCGUAGAUAUCGGGAGGAAUACCAAUGGCGAAGGCAGUUUUCUGGCAUGAAUCUGACGCUCAUACACGAAGGCUAGGGGAGCAAACAGGAUUAGAUACCCUGGUAGUCC
rnacentral:rRNA from 1 species